rnacentral:rRNA from 1 species
GUGCCAGCCGCCGCGGUAAUACCGGCAGCCCGAGUGAUGGCCGAUCUUAUUGGGCCUAAAGCGUCCGUAGCUGGCCGCGCAAGUCCAUCGGAAAAUCCACCCGCCCAACGGGUGGACGUCCGGUGGAAACUGUGUGGCUUGGGACCGGAAGGCGCGACGGGUACGUCCGGGGUAGGAGUGAAAUCCCGUAAUCCUGGACGGACCGCCGAUGGCGAAAGCACGUCGCGAAGACGGAUCCGACAGUGAGGGACGAAAGCUAGGGUCUCGAACCGGAUUAGAUACCCCAGUAGUCC